AGCAGUGUGGCUUAGUGGAAAGAGCAUGGGCUUGGGAUUCAGAGGUCAUGGGUUCUAAAUCCCAGCUCUGCUG
rnacentral:tRNA from 1 species